GAUGAACGCUGGCGGCGUGCCUAAUACAUGCAAGUCGAGCGAACGGACGAGAAGCUUGCUUUUCUGAUGUUAGCGGCGGACGGGUGAGUAACACGUGGAUAACCUACCUAUAAGACUGGGAUAACUUCGGGAAACCGGAGCUAAUACCGGAUAAUAUUUUGAACCGCAUGGUUCAAAAGUGAAAGACGGUCUUGCUGUCACUUAUAGAUGGAUCCGCGCUGCAUUAGCUAGUUGGUAAGGUAACGGCUUACCAAGGCAACGAUGCAUAGCCGACCGGAGAGGGUGAUCGGCCACACUGGAACUGAGACACGGUCCAGACUCCUACGGGAGGCAGCAGUAGGGAAUCUUCCGCAAUGGGCGAAAGCCUGACGGAGCAACGCCGCGUGAGUGAUGACGGUCUUCGGAUCGUAAAGCUCUGUUAUUAGGGAAGAACAUAUGUGUAAGUAACUGUGCACAUCUUGACGGUACCUAAUCAGAAAGCCACGGCUAACUACGUG
rnacentral:rRNA from 1 species